AUCCACCUUUAUGCAAACUGCAGUAUUUAGUAGAAAAGAGAUAAGCUUCUAGACAACUUAAAUUUGUGUUUAGAAACUAAAUUGAUUCAGUUUGUGUUCUCCUAUGAAUCUUGAAUGUGAUAAUGCUAUUCAGGCAGUUCACAUUUUUGGUAGGAUCUCAAUAACUCAGGGUAGGUAGGGUUCCAUAGCAAAAUAGCACAGUUAUUAGUGAGGGGAAUGCCUCAAGGGUCUGUAAGAUUUUCUCUUUUUUUUUUUUUUCCUGUCUAUUCAGACACAUUGUAAGAAAACUUGGACAGUCUCAGACCUGCCAUUGAUUUUUCAGAUUGAGGCCUCAGUGACAUGCUUCUAAUACAAUUU
rnacentral:lncRNA from 1 species